UUGAUUUUUUUUAAUGAACCUAUUUUUUCACACAUCCUCUUUCUCAUUCAUUCAAAAUUUCAAAAUUUUCACUCCUCUCUCUUGUUUUGCUCGCUGCCCCAACAUUUAUUUUCAAAUCUUCAUCUAUGUAAAAUAGCUUUCUUUGCCCUCUGUCAAUAGUAGCUUCCAAUUUCUCUCCAUCUCCCUUUGAAUCUUCAUCUGUCAAUCGCAGGUUUCAAUUGAGAGAUCUUCUCAGACGUUGCGUUUUUCAAAUCUGCGAUGCGUUUGGGACCGACUACUUUACGGGUUCAGUGGUUUUGUCCCUGUGUCGUGGAUUUGGUUUUUCGUGUGUUC
rnacentral:sRNA from 1 species